rnacentral:tRNA from 1 species
CGAUGCGUAGCGUAGUGGUAGCGUGUUGUUGUUGCCAGUAGGACGUUGCAGGUUCGAUUCCCGCCCUCGGCAA